GAUGAACGCUAGCGGCAGGCCUAAUACAUGCAAGUCGAGCGGCAAGUUGAGAAGCAAUUCGAGACCUAGAGCGGCGUACGGGUGCGUAACGCGUAUGCAACCUACCUCAUACAGGGGGAUAGCCCGGAGAAAUCUGGAUUAAUACCCCAUAGUACAUAUAGAGGGCAUCUGAAAUAUGUUAAAGAUUCAUCGGUAUGAGAUGGGCAUGCGUCUGAUUAGCUAGUUGGCGGUGUAACGGACCACCAAGGCGACGAUCAGUAGGGGUUCUGAGAGGAAGGUCCCCCAAACUGGCACUGAGAUACGGGCCAGACUCCUACGGGAGGCGGCAGUAGGGAAUAUUGGGCAAUGGUCGGAAGACUGACCCAGCCAUGCCGCGUGCAGGAAGAAGGCCCUCUGGGUUGUAAACUGCUUUUAUCUGGGAAGAAAAGGCCCGUGCGCGGGACAUUGCCGGUACCAGAUGAAUAAGCACCGGCUAACUCCGUGCCAGCAGCCGCGGUAACAC
rnacentral:rRNA from 1 species